rnacentral:rRNA from 1 species
UACGGGGGGGCAAGCGUUGUUCGGAAUUACUGGGCGUAAAGGGCUCGUAGGCGGCCAACUAAGUCAGACGUGAAAUCCCUCGGCUUAACCGGGGAACUGCGUCUGAUACUGGAUGGCUUGAGUUUGGGAGAGGGAUGCGGAAUUCCAGGUGUAGCGGUGAAAUGCGUAGGAUAUCUGGAGGAACACCGGUGGCGAAGGCGGCAUCCUGGACCAACACGUG